rnacentral:tRNA from 1 species
GGCCCUAUCGUCUAGCGGUUAGGACGCCAGGUUCUCAUCCUGGUAACCCGAGUUCGAUUCUCGGUAGGGUCACCA